rnacentral:rRNA from 1 species
UACAGAGGGGGCAAGCGUUGUUCGGAAUUACUGGGCGUAAAGGGCGCGUAGGCGGCCUUCUAAGUCGAACGUGAAAUCCCUGGGCUCAACCCAGGAACUGCGUCCGAUACUGAAAGGCUUGAAUCCGGGAGAGGGAUGCGGAAUUCCAGGUGUAGCGGUGAAAUGCGUAGAUAUCUGGAGGAACACCGGUGGCGAAGGCGGCAUCCUGGACCGGUAUUGACGCUGAGGCGCGAAAGCUAGGGGAGCAAACGGG